AUUGAACGCUGGCGGCAGGCCUAACACAUGCAAGUCGAACGGUAACAGGAAGCAGCUUGCUGCUUCGCGGACGAGGGGCGGACGGGUGAGAAAUGUCUGGGAAACUGCCGGAUGGAGGGGGAUAACUACUGGAAACGGCAGAUAAUACCGCAGAACGUCGCAAGAACAAAGAGGGGGACAAAAGGGCCGCGUGCCAUGGGAUGCGCCCGGGUGGGAUUAGCGUGUAGGUGGGGGAACGGCUCACCGAGUCGACGAUCCCUUGCUGGUGUGAGAGGAUGAGAGCCCACACUGGAGCUGGGACACGGUCCCGGCUCCUACGGGAGGCAGCAGUGGCGAAUAUUGCACACUGGGCGCAAGCCUGAUGCAGCCAUGCCGCGUGUGUGACGACGGCCUUCGGGUUGUAAAGUACUUUCAGCGGUGGGGAAGGGCUUUAGGUUAAUACCUUUGCUCAUUGACGUUACCCGCAGAAGAAGCACCGGCUAACUCCGUG
rnacentral:rRNA from 1 species